UCUCACUGACAGACAUUUGUGGUUUGAUUUAGUGUGCAGCAGUUUCAUACAUUUCCUGUGACAGGCAGAAUGCCUCAGAGACUGGGUGGAAAGCACAAAACAGUUGCUGGCAAGCAAUAGUAACAUUUACAUUGGCACGAUUUGAUCGUUAGGCGGAACCUGUGCAGCAUCUUUACAACAAUGCGGAGGCAUUUAUAGCACCACAAGGGAUGUACCCAAACCAGAAAGAACUGCAAUCCUUACAUUCCUGAAAACUAUUAUUCAAAUGUUAUUGAGUCACUUGGCAGACCUGAAAAAGUGAGAUACAGACUAACACGGCGGCUACUCUGAAUCCUUCCUUUUAUGGACUUCAAAGUACCCCAUCAGGUGGUCUGUCACUUGGUCAUCACCCACCUGGAAUUCAUACUUGACAAACUGGUUUCCCCUAGGUGGUAGGCAGCUCUUUCCCCCCAAGGGUAUUUUCAUUUGAAUGGAUGAUCAUCAAGGUUUAAGGGCCCGCCCUUGUUAGCUCUCAGGUGCAACAAUUUCAUCUGGUGCAAGAAUUUCCCCUGAGAUAUCCUUUGUACCUGAUUUGGGUCUCAUCUGUUCUCUCUGGUUUGGGUACAUCCCUGGCCACAAAGAACAUAAAAGGGAAACAUCAGAAUUUCAUAGAUUCUCUAUAAUGUGUGUGUGGAGGGGUUAGGGGAGAGGAAAGAAAAACUCCCUGCCUCCAGGGAUAUAUUAGGGUUGUUAGAAGCAAGGAAAGGAAAAGAAACAGGAUCAGGAACUUUGGAGACAGAGGCUAUAUCUACAUUAUGGGUGCUACAGCAGCAUAACUAUGGCACCAAUAGCUAUGCCCCUGUAAACCCACAGAAUAUAUGCAGGCUACAGUGACAAAAGGGGUUUUUCUAUCGCUGCAAAAACUCCCCCACCCGAGUGACUGUAGCUAGGUCAAUGCAAACAUUCUUCCAUUAACCUAGCUACCACUACUCUGGGGGUUAGGUCAGUGCAGCUGUGGUGCUCAGGGGUGUGGAUUUUUCACACCCCUGAGCUCCGUAGCAAUGUCAGGUGUAGAUCAGGCCAUAGCAGCAAUUCAGUGCUUGUUUAGAUAUCUAUCCUUGAACAACCGCA